GCGCAGCAGUCGCGAAAACUCCGCAAUACGCGAAAGCGUGACGGGGCUACCCCGAGUGUCGUCCGCUGAGGACGACUUUUCCACGCUGUAAGGAGGCGUGGGAAUAAGGAGAGGGCAAGUCUGGUGUCAGCCGCCGCGGUAAUACCAGCUCUCCGAGUGGUAGGGACGAUUAUUGGGCUUAAAGCGUCCGUAGCCGGCUCAGCAAGUCUCCCGUUAAAUCCAACGAUUCAAUCGUUGGACUGCGGGAGAUACUGUUGAGCUAGGAGGCGGGAGAGGCCGACGGUAUUCCCGGAGUAGGGGUGAAAUCCUCUGAUCCCGGGAGGACCUGCAGUGGCGAAGGCGGGUAGCCAGAACGCGCUCGACGGUGAGGGGCGAAAGCUGGGGGAGCGAACCGGAUUAGAUACCCGGGUAGUCC
rnacentral:rRNA from 1 species